rnacentral:lncRNA from 1 species
UGACACGUAAAGCGCGAACUACAUAUAUAAAAGUAAUAAAUUAAGCAUGAAUUAACAUAAAAAGCCAUUGAAAUAAUUUCAUUCAGACUUCGAUUUACAACGAAAACCUAUAAAAAUAAUAGUACAGAUUUGAUAAGAACCUGUGUGAUAAAUUAAAUCGAGUAAAGGAGCAAACCCCGUCAUCGAAAACUCAACUCGGAAACCCCAAACUCUUUUGGUGUUGUCUCGUUUUCUGUUUUCUCCAAUUGUUUUUUCCUUUGUUGUUUUUCAGUGUUCCUCUUUGCUUCUUGUUCUCAAUGUUCUCUCUGUUUGUGUCUCAAUGUACAUAGUUAUUUUUUGUUUGAUUUUUCAAUCUCCUUUUUUUUUUUUUUUUU